rnacentral:rRNA from 1 species
AGCGAACGCUGGCGGCAGGCUUAACACAUGCAAGUCGAGCGGGCAUCUUCGGAUGUCAGCGGCAGACGGGUGAGUAACACGUGGGAACGUGCCCUUCGGUUCGGAAUAAGCCAGGGAAACUUGGUCUAAUACCGGAUACGCCCUUUUGGGGAAAGGUUUACUGCCGAAGGAUCGGCCCGCGUCUGAUUAGCUAGUUGGUGGGGUAACGGCUCACCAAGGCGACGAUCAGUAGCUGGUCUGAGAGGAUGAUCAGCCACACUGGGACUGAGACACGGCCCAGACUCCUACGGGAGGCAGCAGUGGGGAAUAUUGGACAAUGGGCGCAAGCCUGAUCCAGCCAUGCCGCGUGAGUGAUGACGGCCUUAGGGUUGUAAAGCUCUUUCGUCCGGGACGAUAAUGACGGUACCGGAAGAAGAAGCCCCGGCUAACUUCGUGCCAGCAGCCGCAGUAACAC